CCGUUAUUAUGAGGUACCACCAAGGGCAACACCAACCUCGUCAUCGUCACUAUCGUCUUCGCCAC
rnacentral:ribozyme from 1 species